rnacentral:lncRNA from 1 species
CAAAGACAUGAUUUUACUAAACAACCAUUCCAUCUUACUUUCAUAACUGGAAUAAUAAGAAAAUGUUACGGCUGUGGAUGAUCAUUUUCAGAUAAGCAUACAAAUGUUCCAAAUGAUCUUGUGUUAAAAAGAUAUGAUCAUAGAAUGUAUUUAAGUCCAAGAUCUAAAAUCUUGAUACUAUCUGUUUCUCUACAAAACACAUAUUUUCAUUUAAAUGAUGACAAGAAAAAAGGAUACUCAGUUUGAAUUCAAAGAUG